AUGUCUAGGUCUUCUAUUGUCCAUAUCUUCCAAUGUUUAGGGCUUCCAAGGUACAGGGCUUGCAGGGCCUCCAGUUUUCAGGGCUUCCAGUAUCCAUUAACUCCAACACUCAGGGCCUCCAAAGUCUCCAAUGCCCAGAAUAACAAAUGUCCUCAAAAUCUAAGACUUCCAAUGUCUCCAACAUCCUGUGCUUCCAAUGUCUCCAAUGUCCAGGGUUUCCAGUGGCGCCAGUGUCAAGGUCUUCCAGUGACUCUAGAUCUUCCAGCAACUCCAAGUCUUCCAACUAAUUCCAAGUCUUCCAGCAACAUCAAGGUCUUCCAACCAAACCAGUCUUCCAGAAAAUCCAUGACUUCCAGUCAAUCCAUGUCUUCCAGCAAAUAUAGGUCUUCCAAAAAAUCCAUAUCUUCCAGGAAAAUCCAUGUCUUCCAACAAUUUCAAGGUCUUCCAGCCAACCCAUGUCUUCCAGAAAAUCUUUGUCUUCCACCAAAUCCAAGUCUUCCUGCUAAUUUAUGUCUUCCAGAAAAUCUAUGUCUUCCACUAAAUCCAGGUCUUCCAGCAAAGCCACGUCUUCCAGAAAAUUCUGCGCCUUCCAGGAAAUCCACGUCUUCCAGAAAAUCCUAG
rnacentral:lncRNA from 1 species